UACGUAGGUGGCGAGCGUUAUCCGGAUUUAUUGGGCGUAAAGCGUCCGCAGCCGGUUUGUUAAGUCCAGAAUUAAAGCCCGAAGCUCAACUUCGGUUCGUUUUGGAAACUGGCAGACUCGAGUGUGGUAGAGGCAAGUGGAACUUCUAGUGUAGCGGUGGAAUGCGUAGAUAUUAGAAAGAACACCAGUGGCGAAAGCGACUUGCUGGGCCAUUACUGACGGUCAGGGACGAAAGCGUGGGGAGCAAAUA
rnacentral:rRNA from 1 species